rnacentral:sRNA from 1 species
CAAUUAAAAUAUGAAGGCCCUUCAAACCGGCUGGAUUAUUUUUAUUCACCCUUGUCUUUUGCGCACUUGUUGUUUCCUGGGCGGGUUCGCUCGCCACCAGGACCACAUCAUAAACCUUUUUUGUUAAUGCAAUCAGCGUCAGUAUAACAAAUGUAAAUCAUUUACAACUUUCAACAACGGAUCUCUUGGUUCUGGCAUCGAUGAAGAACGCAGCGAAAUGCGAUACGUAGUGUGAAUUGCAGAAUUCAGUGAAUCAUCGAAUCUUUGAACGCACAUUGCGCCCUUUGGUAUUCCAAAGGGCAUGCCUGUUCGAGCGUCAUUUGUACCCUCAAGCUUUGCUUGGUGUUGGGCGUUGUUUGUCUUUGGUCCGCCCAAAGACUCGCCUUAAAACAAUUGGCAGCCGGCCUACUGGUUUCGCAGCGCAGCACAUUUUUGCGCUUGCAAUCAGCAAAAGAGGUUGGUCAUCCAUCAAGACUACAUUUAUACGUUUGACCUCGGAUCAGGUAGGGAUACCCGCUGAACUUAAGCAUAUCAAUAAGCGGAGGAAAAGAAACCAACAGGGAUUGCCCUAGUAACGGCGAGUGAAGCGGCAACAGCUCAAAUUUGAAAUCUGGCUCUUUCAGAGUCCGAGUUGUAAUUUGCAGAGGGCGCUUUGGCUUUGGCAGCGGUCCAAGUUCCUUGGAACAGGACGUCACAGAGGGU